rnacentral:rRNA from 1 species
UACGUAGGGGGCUAGCGUUGUCCGGAAUCGUUGGGCGUAAAGCGCGUGUAGGCGGUCCGGUAAGUCCGCUGUGAAAGUCGGGGGCUCAACCCUCGGAUGCCGGUGGAUACUGUCGGGCUUGAGUACGGAAGAGGCGAGUGGAAUUCCUGGUGUAGCGGUGAAAUGCGCAGAUAUCAGGAGGAACACCAAUUGCGAAGGCAGCUCGCUGGGACGUUACUGACGCUGAGACGCGAAAGCGUGGGGAGCAAACAGG